GUCCUAUACAGACCAUACAGGAAUAGUUAGAGGCAGCAUGGCCAAGCUUAGAGAAAGACCUAACCAGAGACCUCUGAAUGGAAGAUUCCAUUCAGUUACAAGAGAAAUGGGGGAAUGAAAGACCCGCUCGAAAUGCCCCUGAGCCCCCUGCCCCGAAGCUGCUGGGGCCUCCCAAGCCUUCACCCCGGCAGGGCUCGCGCCCCUGGCCCGCCCCGUCUGGCACCGCGCCUCGGGGCUGGGGCCGAGCAACGAGCACCAGGUGGGCAGGCCCGAGAAUGAGCACCAGGUGGGCAGGCCCGAGAAUGAGCACCGGGUGGGCCGGCACGAGGGCGAGCACCAGGUGGGCCGGCACGAGAACGAACACCAAGUGAGCCGGCCUGAAGCCCUGCCCCUGAGCCCCCGCCCGAAGAGAAACACUCCGUCCCAAGGUCUCCGCCCCCAAGGUCAGCCAUCAGGAAGGGGGGGGAUUGAGUCUGCUGUACCAGACACCAGACCUUGAGAAUAUGCUGAUCUGGAAUGGCUCUGUGUCUCAUUUGAAC
rnacentral:lncRNA from 1 species